AGUGAACGCUGGCGGUAGGCCUAACACAUGCCAGUCGAACGGCAGCACAGUAAGAGCUUGCUCUUACGGGUGGCGAGUGGCGGACGGGUGAGGAAUACAUCGGAAUCUACUUUUUCGUGGGGGAUAACGUAGGGAAACUUACGCUAAUACCGCAUACGACCUACGGGUGAAAGCAGGGGAUCUUCGGACCUUGCGCGAUUGAAUGAGCCGAUGUCGGUUUAGCUAGUUGGCGGGGUAAAGGCCCACCAAGGCGACGAUCCGUAGCUGGUCUGAGAGGAUGAUCAGCCAAACUGGAACUGAGACACGGUCCAGACUCCUACGGGAGGCAGCAGUGGGGAAUAUUGGCCAAUGGGCGCAAUCCUGCUCCAGCCAUACCGCGUGGGUGAAGAAGGCCUUCGGGUUGUAAAGCCCUUUUGUUGGGAAAGAAAAGCAGCAGGUUAAUACCCCGCUGUUCUGACGGUACCCAAAGAAUAAGCACCGGCUAACUUCGUG
rnacentral:rRNA from 1 species